rnacentral:rRNA from 1 species
AUACGUAGGUGACAAGCGUUAUCCGGAUUUACUGGGCGUAAAGGGCGUGUAGGCGGUCUUGCAAGUCAGAAGUGAAAUUCCUGAGCUCAACUCGGGCGCUGCUUCUGAAACUGCAGGACUUGAGUGCUGGAGGGGAUAGCGGAAUUCCUAGUGGAGCGGUAAAAUGCGCAGAUAUUAGGAAGAACACCGGUGGCGAAGGCGGCUAUCUGGACAGUAACUGACGCUGAGGCGCGAAAGCGUGGGGAGCAAACAGGAUUAGAUGCCCUGGUAGUCCACGCCGUAAACGAUGAAUACUAGGUGUGGGGGUAUCGACUCCCUCUGUGCCGCAGUUAACACAAUAAGUAUUCCGCCUGGGGAGUACGGCCGCAAGGUUGAAACUCAAAUGAAUUGGCGGGG